rnacentral:rRNA from 1 species
AGUGAACGCUGGCGGUAGGCCUAACACAUGCAAGUCGAACGGCAGCACAGUAAGAGCUUGCUCUUACGGGUGGCGAGUGGCAGACGGGUGAGGAAUACAUCGGACUCUACUUUUUCGUGGGGGAUAACGUAGGGAAACUUACGCUAAUACCGCAUACGACCUACGGGUGAAAGCAGGGGAUCUUCGGACCUUGCGCGAUUGAAUGAGCCGAUGUCGGAUUAGCUAGUUGGCGGGGUAAAGGCCCACCAAGGCGACGAUCCGUAGCUGGUCUGAGAGGAUGAUCAGCAACACUGGAACUGAGACACGGUCCAGACUCCUACGGGAGGCAGCAGUGGGGAAUAUUGGACAAUGGGCGCAAGCCUGAUCCAGCCAGACCGCGUGGGUGAAGAAGGCCUUCGGGUUGUAAAGCCCUUUUGUUGGGAAAGAAAAGCAGCAGGUUAAUACCCCGCUGUUCUGACGGUACCCAAAGAAUAAGCACCGGCUAACUUCGUG